GAUGAACGCUGACAGAAUGCUUAACACAUGCAAGUCGAUGGGGAAGUGGUGCUUGCACCAUGGUAACCAUGGCGGACGGGUGAGUAACGCGUAAGGAGCUUGCCUGCGGGACUGGGAUAACAGCAGGAAACUGCUGAUAAUACCGGAUAAGGUCAUUAAGCUGCAUAGCUUAGUGAUGAAAGGAGACGCCUGCGGAGAGCCUUGCGUCCUAUUAGCUAGUUGGAGGGGUAACGGCCCACCAAGGCGAAGAUAGGUAGCCGGCCUGAGAGGGUGGACGGCCACAAGGGGACUGAGAUACGGCCCUUACUCCUACGGGAGGCAGCAGUGGGGAAUAUUGGACAAUGGGGGCAACCCUGAUCCAGCAAUUCUGUGUGCACGAAGACGGUUUUCGGAUUGUAAAGUGCUUUCAGCAGGGAAGAAGGAAGUGACGGUACCUGCAGAAGAAGCGACGGCUAAAUACGUG
rnacentral:rRNA from 1 species